GGCGCACGGGUGCGGAACGCGUAUGGAAUCUACCUCUUUCUGGGGAAUAGCCCAUGGAAACGUGGAUUAAUACCCCAUAGUAUUCAGAAAUCGCAUGAUUUUUGAAUUAAAGCUUUGGCGGAAAGAGAUGACCAUGCGUAUCAUUAGCUAGUAGGUGAGGUAACGGAUCACCUAGGCUACGAUGAUUAGGGGUCCUGAGAGGGAGAUCCCCCACACUGGUACUGAGACACGGACCAGACUCCUACGGGAGGCAGCAGUGAGGAAUAUUGGACAAUGGUCGAAAGACUGAUCCAGCCAUGCCGCGUGCAGGAUGAAUGCCCUAUGGGUUGUAAACUGCUUUUAUACGGGAAGAACACCACCCACGCGUGGGUGACUGACGGUACCGUAAGAAUAAGGACCGGCUAACUCCGUGCCAGCAGCCGCGGUAAUACGGAGGGUCCAAGCGUUAUCCGGAAUCAUUGGGUUUAAAGGGUCCGUAGGCGGGCUAUUAAGUCAGAGGUGAAAGUUUGCAGCUCAACUGUAAAAUUGCCUUUGAUACUGGUAGUCUUGAGUUAUAGUGAAGUGGUUAGAAUAUGUGGUGUAGCGGUGAAAUGCAUAGAUAUCACAUAGAAUACCAAUUGCGAAGGCAGAUCACUAACUAUAUACUGACGCUGAUGGACGAAAGCGUGGGGAGCGAACGGGAUUAGAUACCCCGGUAGUCCACGCCGU
rnacentral:rRNA from 1 species